rnacentral:tRNA from 1 species
AGCUCAGUUGGUAGAGCAAAGGACUGAAA